CUUUGUUGGUAUGUGGUGCUGAGGAUGGAACCCGGGCUGCACGCAUGCCAGGCGAGCGCGCUACCGCUUGAGCCACAUCCCCAGCCCCUGAACUUGCUUUCAACAGAGGCCUGGCUGUGCUGUGGUCAAAAUUAUGAUCAGGUCAUACUGUGGUCAGAGUCCUACUCGGUUUCCUGGUUGUACUGUGACAGCUUCAGAGUCAGCACUGGGGCUGGUGUCAUGAUGAGCAUGGUAUCUACAGUGGAGUGGUCGGGACUGUGACCCAUCCCUGAAGACACAUCAGGGUCAGAUUCCCAAGGAUCUCAUGUGGCAGAACUGAUGAACUGGGUGGGUCAGUGUCUGGAGUCAGGCAGAGGACACUGUGACAUGUGUGAGAAGCAGAAAGGGCAUUGGAUUUUGUCAUCUCGUCACUUGAGUGUCCCUAAUUGGUGCUUAGGAAGCCAUUGGCUCUGCUGUCCUAGGACCCUUCAUGUGUCCAACUGAAGGACACAGCCCAGAUCUCUGUAUUCUCACACCCUGCCCAGGGCCUGUCGUAGGGAAAAUGAUCAAGAAGUUCAUGAAUGAAUGAAUCCAUUGCAUGUCUACUUACGCCUUUGUUCUUGCUAAUCCCUGUCUUUAUGAUUCCAGGUCCUUUGGUAGUAAUUGCAGAAACCCAGCUUGAAUUGAACUUAGCAAAAAAAAAAAAGAAGAAGAAGGGCAAGGCUAGGGAUAUGUAGCAUACAUGAGGCCCUGGGUUCAACCCCCAGCAUUGCAAAUGCUGAAAACAAUAAUCCAGGGGUAACAGAAUUUAGGCAUGGCUGUAUUCAUGGGGUUCUGUUACAUCUUCAGGAUUCUGUCUCUCUCCAUUUCUUGUCUCUGUGAGGAAUUCUCUUUUAGACAAGAGGUGACAACAUCAGUUCCCAGAGGCUUCUAUCUUCCAAGAUCAGCAACAUCAGCAAAAAGAGAGCUUGCAAAAUAGUGACUGUGGUCCAUCACCAGUCAUGUGCCCAUCCUGAACCAAUCUGAGGGAUAUUGCUCAGCCAGACGAGCUCACAGAUCAUCUCCCUGGAACCGGAGAGUACACUACACUCCAUGUACCAGUUAGUUUCUGCCAAUCCGAAGCCUGAGAAGUGAGAGGUGGAGGUGGGAAAGUCAUCUUCCUGCUGUCUUGGUAGAGGCAGCUGCCACCACAGUUGUGCAGACUUUGGGUUUUCCCCCAGUACUAGAGAUUGAACCAAGGAUCUGAGAACAUGCUGUUAAGCAAGCAAUCGACCACUGGAUUAUAUCCACAGCCCUUUUUAUUUUUUAUUUUGAGGCGGGGUCUUACUAAGUUGCCAGGGCUGCACUCAAACUUGCAAUCCUCCUGCCUCAGCCUCCCAGGUCACUGGGAUUACAGGUGUGCACCACCAGACCUGGCACCUUCCACCACUUUGAACCAGCCAGGGUCCUGGGAGGACUCCACGGAUCCCUUCUAAAGGCAACACCCCAAAGACCUGAUCACCUUGCACUGAGCACCACUCACCACACUGAGGACCCCGCUUCCGAUCUACGAACCUUUAGGGACACACUGAAAUCACAUGGAAACCACAGCA